UACAGAGGUCCCAAGCGUUGUUCGGAUUCAUUGGGCGUAAAGGGUGCGUAGGUGGCGUCGUAAGUCGGGUGUGAAAUCUCGGGGCUUAACUCCGAAACUGCAUUUGAUACUGUGGUGCUUGAGGACUGGAGAGGAGACUGGAAUUCACGGUGUAGCAGUGAAAUGCGUAGAUAUCGUGAGGAAGACCAGUGGCGAAGGCGGGUCUCUGGACAGUUCCUGACACUGAGGCACGAAGGCCAGGGGAGCAAACGGG
rnacentral:rRNA from 1 species